AACCUGGUUGAUCCUGCCAGUAGUCAUAUGCUUGUCUCAAAGAUUAAGCCAUGCAUGUCUAAGUACAAGCCUCACUAAGGUGAAACCGCGAAUGGCUCAUUAAAUCACACCUAAUCUACUGGAUAGAAAAAAGUUACUUGGAUAACUGCGGUAAUUCUGGAGCUAAUACAUGCACAAAGCCUCAACCUUACGGGAGAGGCGCUUUUAUUAGAUCAAAACCAAACGGCUUCGGCUGUACUCUUGGUGACUCUGAAUAACUUUGGGCUGAUCGCAUAGCCUUGAGCUGGCGACAUAUCCUUCGAAGGUGUGCCCUAUCAACUGUCGACUGUGGCAUAGACGCCCACAGUGGUUUUGACGGGUAACGGGGAAUCAGGGUUCGAUUCCGGAGAGGGAGCCUUAAAAACGGCUACCACAUCUAAGGAAGGCAGCAGGCACGCAAAUUACCCAAUGACCGAAGGUCGAGGUAGUGACGAAAAAUAACGAUAGAGGACUCAUCCGAGGCCCUCUAAUUGGAAUGAGUACACUUUAAAACCGUUUCCGAGGAUCUAUUGGAGGGCAAGUCUGGUGCCAGCAGCCGCGGUAAUUCCAGCUCCAAUAGCGUAUAUUAAAGUUGUUGUGGUUAAAAAGCUCGUAGUUGGAUCUCAACAGUCUUGAAGCGGUCAACUUUGUAGUUGUACUGCUUUGUAGACUGUGCUUUUGCUGGAGGUUUAGGGGUGCUCUUAAUCGAGUGUCUCUGGAUGCCAGCAGGUUUACUUUGAAAAAAUUAGAGUGCUCAAAGCAGGCUAAAAUGCCUGAAUAUUCGUGCAUGGAAUAAUAGAAUAGGAUGUCGAUCCUAUUUUGUUGGUUUUCGGGACUUGACAUAAUGAUUAAUAGGGACAGUCGGGGGCAUUUGUAUUCAAACGACAGAGGUGAAAUUCUUGGACCGUUUGAAGACAAACUACUGCGAAAGCAUUUGCCAAGAAUGUUUUCUUUAAUCAAGAACGAAAGUUAGAGGUUCGAAGGCGAUUAGAUACCGCCCUAGUUCUAACCAUAAACGAUGCCAGCUAGCGAUCUGCCGCUGUUUUUACUGUAGACUCGGCAGGAAGCUUCCGGGAAACCAAAGCAUUUGGGUUCCAGGGGAAGUAUGGUUGCAAAGCUGAAACUUAAAGGAAUUGACGGAAGGGCACCACCAGGAGUGGAGCCUGUGGCUUAAUUUGACUCAACACGGGAAAUCUCACCAGGCCCGGACACUGGAAGGAUUGACAGAUUGAUAGCUCUUUCUUGAUUCGGUGGGUGGUGGUGCAUGGCCGUUCUUAGUUGGUGGAGUGAUUUGUCUGGUUAAUUCCGAUAACGAACGAGACUCUGUCCUGCUAAAUAGUGUCUACUUCUCUUUUGAGUAGACAAUUCUUCUUAGAGGGACUGGCAACUCUUAGUUGCACGAGAUUGAGCAAUAACAGGUCUGUGAUGCCCUUAGAUGUUCUGGGCCGCACACGCGCUACACUGAAUAGAUCAGCGUGUCACCCUUCGCGAAAGCGACGGGUAAACCGCUGAACCCUAUUCGUGGUAGGGAUCGGGGCUUGCAAUUAUUCCCCGUGAACCAGGAAUUCCCAGUAGGCGCAAGUCAUAAGCUUGCGUCGAUUACGUCCCUGCCCUUUGUACACACCGCCCGUCGCUACUACCGAUUGAAUGAUCCGGUGAAUAAUUUGGAUUGCAGUGGCAAACAGUGUGCUGCGUGCUGCUUCGAAAAAUCUUAUGAACCUCAUCACUUAGAGGAAGGAGAAGUCGUAACAAGGUUUCCGUAGGUGAACCUGCAGAAGGAUC
rnacentral:rRNA from 1 species